CAGCCGCCACGGUAAUACGAGGGGCGCAAGCGUUAUUCGGAUUGAUUGGGUGUAAAGGGUGUGCAGGCGGCUUAUUAAGUCACUUGUUAAAUUCUUCGGCCUAACUGAAGGUCUGCAAGUGAUACUGAUGAGCUAGAGGGUGGAAGAGAGAAGUGGAAUUCUCGGAGUAGCGGUAAAAUGCGUAGAUCUCGAGAGGAACACCAAUGGCGAAGGCAGCUUCUUGGUCCAUUCCUGGCGUUCAUACACGAAAGCGUGGGGAGCAAACGGGAUUAGAUACCCCCGUAGUCCCUGUCUCUUAUAA
rnacentral:rRNA from 1 species